AUUAAAAGAAAAAGGGGUGAAAAGAACAAAGUUUUGUCCAUCUUUGUUCAUCAUAGCUGAAAGUUAGAGAAGAGAAAUGAGAGGACAAAGGUCUUGAGUAUUUGGUCAUUAGGAGGAGGAAAAUUGAAGGCUGUUCGUGUGUGGAUCUCACAAGAUAUCUUCGCAAAAAUGUGUGUAAUCGACACCCUCUCAUAGACUAGAUUGGCAAAAGCCGAAAAGCGAAAUGCUUAAAAGUCGGUAUUUUGGGAAUUUAAGUGUCUGAAUGCUCGUAAGAUAGUUGGGUUUGUAUAUUUGGUAAUCUAAAGUAAUAAACUGCAAUGCGCGAUUUCGUACAUUUUGAUAAUUUGGGCUUAAUGGGCCAAAGAUCGGGUUCAUGGGCCAACGGCCCAAUUCGUAAGUAUGCCCGGUAAGUGUUCUGAUAGUACGUAAAUAGUUAGGAUAUGCAUGAAAACCCUAAAAGUAGCUAAAUUACUAUAAUACCCCUAUGUAUGGAAAAUUAUCAUAUACCCCUAGGUGCAAAAUUACCGUUAUACCCCUAGGGUUAAUUUUGACCGAAAAGCAUGACGAUCCGAUUACGUAUGAUGUAUGCCAUGAUUAUAUAUCUGCUGCAUGGGGACAUGGGUUAUAUUAUGGAGGAAGCGUUACGGUGGCUAUGCCACAAAUAUCCGAUCCGGUGGCUCUACCACAAAUAUCGAUCCGGUGGCUCGCCAUAAAUAUCGAUCCGGUGGCUCGCCACAUAUAUCUGCUUCGGUGGCUCGCCACGAUUAUUCAGAUCUGGUGACUCGUCACAUUAUUCGCUCGCAGCCAUGCUGCAAAUUACGUGGUGUGUAGCGGUUGGGUGGGUCGAGUUGUCUCCCCACACGGUGUAAGGUUGGUACGGGGUGUAUACGGUUGGAUAUUGUUGGGUUUCGCAUAAACAUGUAAUAUCUUACUUACUCGUUAUGGGCCUAUGGGCUUUAUUCAAUUACUUGCGGGCUAAGGCCAACUUAUUCUAUUUCGUGGUUUGAGCUAAUAUAGGCUAUGGUUGGGUUAAUUUACACAUCGAGUUUCCCCAAACUCACCCUUUUAUUUUCAUCCACGCAGAAAUCCCCAACCAUAGUGGGCUUGGAGUCGUGAGGGAAUUCGAGUGGCCACCCGCUCGAAAGUUUGAUUUUCUUCUGGUGAACUGAACAUCCUUUUAUUUACGUUUGAAGUUUUGGGUUUUUAAAUGUAAUAAGGCCGCUUAAUUAUUUUUGAUGGUUUUAAUAUGUAUUACUAGGAUAGGUAUUACUUAUUCUAACUGUUGAAAUUGGAUAGCUUUAGGGCGCGUUUUCAAAAACAACAAUUGAUUUCAAAAUAACACGACAACAAGCAAAGCUUCCGCACUAAAAGUAUUUUCCAAAAUUAAUCACUUUUCCUAAAAAAUGACUUAAUCAAAUCGGUUUCCUAGAAAUAUCCAUGACGUUAAGGUGUGGCAAUGGUGGUAUGCAUGUCUAGGAUUGGAUCCGAAGGGAGCUUGGUACUUAAGCAGUCCGAUGGACUCACCACCUCUUUUCCGGUUUCCUACCUGGUGCACAACUUCCAUUCACUUUAACCCUUAAUGAAUUAAUCUUUUGAACAUCGAGUACGAUUUUCUGGACUUAGAAUGGAAAUUUUUUUUUUACGUUUUUGAUGUGGCAUGCCGGAUCUGGCCAUAACUUCUGGGCCGGGUUUGGGGUGCUACAUUUAGUGGUAUCAGAACCUAGGUUACAACAACUCGGCUAUGGAAUGGGUUUACAAAAACAAAGAUUUUCAAAAAUGAAAAUUUUAUAAAGAAUGCGAAAAACUCGAUUUUCAAAAUUUAGAUCUUUAGAAGGUGGCAUUCCGAAUCUCCGGCUCAAGUCUAUAAGUAUUACUCUGAACUCUUCUGAAUAUUUUUCUGACUUAUCUGUCUGUACUGAAAUCCUACUAGGAUACUAUAGAUAGGAUGAUACUGAAACCAUAGGAAAAUCGAUAAGAGAUCAAAUCGUAGCUAGACUUGAUUCUGCGAAAACAAACUCGAACUCUUGUCGAUUCAUAAAACAUCUGUAAUAAACAUUGGAAUAUUAAUUGAUGCAUAAAAAUUCGUAAUCAAGAUAAUACGACAUGAGUACAAGAGGCCGUGGAUGGAGCCGAGGAAGUGCUCGAGCGAGAUCUUCGUCUUCGAGACAUAUGCCGGCGGUGGAUGCACCGGUACCAUCGGCAAUAGAGGUAGAGUCUCAUGACCGCAGAUCGAGGAUGAUGCCCUGUCACAGGCAAUGCUUCGUGUUCUGGAAAGGGUUGCCGGAGCAAGUUCGGGCAACGAAAUUCAGGGAUCUAUUUCUGAAUGACUUCGAGACUAACGGAAUGGAGAACUUUAAGAGCAUGUCUGGUAUAGCCCCGAAUAUGGCAGAAUAUUGGUUGGAGGCCACAGAACGGAUUAUGGAUAACUUGGACUACUCUGAGGAGAUUGUGAGUGGGGUAUCUAUACUAAGUCCUUUGGGUCACUCGGUUAGGGUAGACAAACUGUAUAGGGAUGUACCCUUAGAAACUCAAGGUAGGAUUUUCCCUGGAGAUCUGAUGAGUCACCGUUCGGAGAGUUUGACCUCAUUCUGGGAAUGGAUUGGCUUGUUAAGCAUAAGGCGACUCUGGAUUGUGCUUCUAAAUGAAUGGUGUUAAGAACUACAAAGGAUGAGGAGGUUAUGGUGAUAGGUGAGAGAAUGGAUUAUUUGUCCAAUGUGGUGUCGGCAUUAAGAGCCAAAAAGUGGAUUCAGAAAGGUUGUGAAGCCUAAUUGGUAUUUGUAAGUCAGUCGGAAGAGAAGGGACUGACAGUGGAUAAGGUUAGGACCGUAAAGGAGUUCCAAGAUGUUUUUCCGGAGGAGCUUCCAGGAUUGCCUCCGAAUCGAGAAGUUGAGUUUGGAAUAGACUUGUUGCCUGGAAUGGUAUCUGUGUCUAUCACACCGUAUAGGAUGGCACCGAAGGAAUUAGUAGAGUUAAAUGCUCAAAUUCAAGAUUUGUUGGAUAGGGGCUUCAUUAGGCCAAGCGUGUCUCCAUGGGGAGCACUGGUGCUAUUCGUGAAGAAGAAGGAUGGUACAAUGCGGAUGUGCAUUGUUUAUCGCCAGUUGAACAAACUGACGAUUAAAAAUAAGUAUCCGCUGCUAAGGAUUGAUGAUUUAUUUGACCAACUUAGAGGAACUUCGGUAUUUUCCAAGAUUGACCUUCGAUCUGGAUACCAUCAGUUAAAGGUAAAGGAAGUGGAUAUCCAUAAGACAGCAUUCAGGACUCGGUAUGGUCAUUACGAGUUUCUAGUUAUGCCAUUUGGACUAAUGAACGCUCUUGCAGCAUUUAUGGAUCUGAUGAAUCAUGUGUUCCAACCAUUUUUAGAUCAAUUCGUAGUCGUCUUUAUUGACGAUAUCCUGGUAUAUUCUGAAACUAAAACGAAACAUGAUGAGCAUCUUUGUAUAGUGCUGUAAGUAUUAAGGGAGAAGGAACUCUUUGCGAAGUUCAGCAAGUGUGAAUUUUGGUUGAGGGAGGUAACCUUCUUAGGACAUGUGGUCUCUGCUGAUGUAACACCCCGAACCCGAGACCAUCGCCGGUGUCGGACACGAGGGGUUAACAAGCCAAGUUCACAUAUUUUGCCCCCCAAUUUGACAUUUCCAGUCAGGCUGGAAAACUGCGUCACCGUUGCCUUAAAAAUCAUAUCUCGAGUUUCAAAACUCGGAAACUGGUUUUGUAAAUUUUCCCUGAAUUUAAACUCAUAUAUCCAUCCAUGUAUUUAUUUCUAGAA